ensembl:lncRNA
GCUGCAAGACACAAGUACAACUGGACAGACAGACAGGUUCCUCAUAGCAAAGGGACUAGGGGAUAGAGAGAGACAGACAGGUUCCUCAUAGCAAAGGGACUAGGAGAUACAGAGAGACAGACAGGUUCCUCAUAGCAAAUGGACUGGGGGAUAGAGAGAGACAGACAGGGUCCUCAUAGCAAAUGGACUAGGGGAUAGAGAGAGAGAGACAGGGUCCUCAUAGCAAAUGGACUGGGGGAUAGAGAGAGAGAGAGAGAGAGAGAGAGAGAGACAGGGUCCUCAUAGCAAAUGGACAGGGAGAUAGAGAGAGACAGACAGGUUCCUCAUAGCAAAUGGACUGGGGGAUAGAGAGAGACAGACAGGUUCCUCAUAGCAAAGGGACUGGGGG